ACACCCAGUGGGACAGUCUGCCUGGGACUCUGGGAGAGAAACAGUCGAGACUGAAAAGGCACUGACUGUUUGAGAGAGAAAACCCCAGAGGGACAGGCUGCCUGGGAGAGAGACAGUCUGAAGUCAAAACCAGAGAUGUAACAAACUUCCUGGGAGAGACUGAAGACAUGCUGCCUGGAACAGAGACAGUGCAGGAACCUGAAUGCCAAUGAGAGCAAACGACAUGCGAACAUAAAAGAACACAGAACAAGCUGGAGCUUACUGAAGAGGCCAUACUGCCAACAGACGCUGUAAAAGAGACUACUGAAAGUCAUGGAUAAGUAAGGCAGGGUCCUGAAGGCAGAUCACGUGACGACGAGGGAGGAGCAGAGUUUGAAAAGGCCACACUGCCCAAUAGGGAACCACUACAAGCCAAUGUUCAUUAGCCAGAACCACCCGUUCCUGCAGAGGAAAUGAUCAGUCACUAUCAGUUCAGACUGAAUAUCCCAACUGGGCCCUGGGGUCCUCAUUCAAUAAGCAGUGAGUACAGCACAGGAUUACAGCAAGCCAUUAUACCCCCACUGGAGGCACUAAAACCUCUAGUAAGAGACACACACGACUUAUAAUUAUUAUUAUUUACAUGGACUCCUCCAUACCUGUGGCCCCAGACAUACCUUACGUGCCCCCUGCAUCCGGCAGUAGUCCAGUAACAUGGGAAGCCCGCGCUCCUGCAGGUACCGCCUCUGUGUCCUGUUCUCUGUCUCAGCCUCGUUGGGAUGGAAGUUACUGGGCCAGAUCUAAAGAGAAGAAGCCAUCUUACUGAAGAAGCCACACUCAUGUAAUGGCCACUCCCAUGCACUUGAUGUCAGGAGGAGCAGCGUGAGUUUUUCCCAGGCUCCUUUUGGGUCAGGGGAUUUAUUUAAAGUUUGUGAAGAUUUCUGUCAGGAAAACCCUCCCCAUUUUUCCCCUCAAAAAAGUGCUCCUAAAAUAGUGAUGAAAGUGUGGAGCCACUUGGGUUACAACAGAGGGGCAAGCGGUGACAGAAAGGACAAGGUGCCCAAGUGAAUAGUCUGGACAAACAAGCAGAAGCAGGUGCUGAGAGUUGCAGUUCUUCUGGUGCUGGGAGUUGCAGUGCAGAGGCAGAAGCAUACCAGGAAGCAGCUGCAAAGCAUGCUGGGAGCCAGGAAGGAAGUGCUACAGGCAGUCAUGGAAAGGGCGGAGCUAUGAUGUGAUGGGGCAGGUGAGGGGAGUUCCCACAGUUUGUAGCCAGGAAUCUCAGUAAAGAAUUUAUUUUUUA